UUUCAGCUCCAGUAAAAGAUCUAUUAGUGGUGACCUCAAGGAUGCACGGUUUCUGCCAGAUAUAUCUAUGUUUAGGUUCAUACAGCUGGAGAAGAGAAGGCCUCAGCUUUAGAGCCGAAUCUAAAGAAG